rnacentral:rRNA from 1 species
UACGUAGGUGGCAAGCGUUGUCCGGAUUUACUGGGCGUAAAGAGCGCGCAGGCGGUCGUGCAAGUCGCGUGUGAAAGCCCCCGGCUCAACUGGGGAGGGUCACGCGAUACUGCUCGACUUGAAGGCAGGAGAGGGAAGUGGAAUUCCCGGUGUAGUGGUGAAAUGCGUAGAUAUCAGGAGGAACACCAGCGGCGAAGGCGGCGCUCUGGGCUGGAACUGACGCUGAGGAGCGAAAGCGUGGGGAGCGAACAGG